ACGCCGUAAACGAUGAAUACUAGAUGUGGGAGGUAUCGACUCCUUCCGUGUCGUCGCAAACGCAAUAAGUAUUCCGCCUGGGGAGUACGGCCGCAAGGUUGAAACUCAAAGAAAUUGACGGGGACCCGCACAAGCAGCGGAGCAUGUGGUUUAAUUCGACGCAACGCGGAAAACCUUACCAGGGUUUGACAUCGUCUGACCGCUCAAGAGAUUGAGCUUCCCUUCGGGGCAGAUAGACAGGUGGUGCAUGGUUGUCGUCAGCUCGUGUCGUGAGAUGUUGGGUUAAGUCCCGCAACGAGCGCAACCCUUAUAUACAGUUGCCAAUAUUAAGUUAGGAACUCUGUAUAGACUGCCGUGGAUAACACGGAGGAAGGUGGGGAUGACGUCAAAUCAUCACGCCCCUUACAUCCUGGGCUACACACGUGCUACAAUGGCUAUUACAAAGAGCAGCGACAUCGUAAGGUGAAGCGAAUCUCAAAAAGAUAGUCUCAGUUCAGAUUGUGGGCUGCAACCCGCCCACAUGAAGUCGGAGUUGCUAGUAAUCCCGAAUCAGCAUGUCGGGGUGAAUGCGUUCCCGGGUCUUGUACACACCGCCCGUCACGCCAUGGGAGAUGGGAGUACCCAAAGUCAACGGCCUAACCCGCAAGGGAGGGAGUUGCCUAAGGUAAUACCAUUGACUGGGGUG
rnacentral:rRNA from 1 species